AUUGAACGCUGGCGGCAGGCCUAACACAUGCAAGUCGAACGAGUGGCGGACGGGUGAGUCAUGUCUGGGAAACUGCCUGAUGGAGGGGGAUAACUACUGGAAACGGUAGCUAAUACCGCCUACCAUCGGAUGUGCCCAGAUUGGAUUAGCUAGUAGGUGGGGUAACGGCUCACCUAGGCGACGUGCCCUAGCUGGUAUGAGAGGAUGACAAGCCACACUGGAACUGCGACACUGUCCCGACUCCUACGGGAGGCAGCAGUGGGGAAUAUUGCACAAUGGGCUCAAGCCGGCUGCAGCCAUGCCGCGUGUAUGAAGAAGGCCGUCGGGUUGUAAAGUACUUACAGCUGGGAGGCGUUACCCGCAGAAGAAGCACCGGCUAACUCCGUGCCAGCAGCCGCGGUAAUAC
rnacentral:rRNA from 1 species